rnacentral:rRNA from 1 species
CCAGUGACCAAGUUCAACGGCCGCGGUAUCCUAACCGUGCGAAGGUAGCGUAAUCACUUGUUCUUUAAAUGAGGACUAGUAUGAAUGGCACCACGAGGGUUKUACUGUCUCCUUUUUCUAAUCAAUGAAACUGAUCCCCCCGUGAAGAAGCGGGGAUAAACAUAUAAGACGAGAAGACCCUAUGGAGCUUUAAAAAAAAUARCACUGGCCCCCCCCCCUCCUACCUUCCAGAAAMAUAAMACCCAUWUUGGCCAAAAUGAWUAUUAUUUUUAGGUUGGGGUGACCACGGAGCAAAAAUUAWCCUCCACAUUGAACGGAAAUACUCCUGAGCCAAAAGCUACGACUUUAAGCACCAAUAAACUGACAUUAAUUGACCCAAUAUUUUGAUCAACGAACCAAGUUACCCUAGGGAUAACAGCGCAAUCCAUUUCAAGAGCUCCUAUCGACAAAUGGGUUUACGACCUCGAUGUUGGAUCAGGUCACCCCAGUGGUGCAGCCGCUACUAAAGUCG